rnacentral:rRNA from 1 species
UACGUAGGGGGCUAGCGUUGUCCGGAAUCAUUGGGCGUAAAGAGCGUGUAGGCGGCCAAACAGGUCCGUUGUGAAAACUGGAGGCUCAACCUCCAGACGUCGACGGAAACCGUGUGGCUAGAGUCCGGAAGAGGAGAGUGGAAUUCCUGGUGUAGCGGUGAAAUGCGCAGAUAUCAGGAAGAACACCAAUGGCGAAGGCAGCUCUCUGGGACGGUACUGACGCUGAGACGCGAAAGCGUGGGGAGCGAACAGG